AUUGAACGCUGGCGGCAGGCCUAACACAUGCAAGUCGAGCGAGCGGCGGACGGGUGAGUAAUGUCUGGGAAACUGCCUGAUGGAGGGGGAUAACUACUGGAAACGGUAGCUAAUACCGCAUACCAUCAGAUGUGCCCAGGUGGGAUUAGCUAGUAGGUGGGGUAACGGCUCACCUAGGCGACGAUCCCUAGCUGGUCUGAGAGGAUGACCAGCAAAACUGGAAGUGAGACACGGUCCAGACUCCUACGGGAGGCAGCAGUGGGGACUAUUGCACAAUGGGCGCAAGCCUGAGGCAGCCAUGCCGCGUGUGUGAAGAAGGCCUUCGGGUUGUAAAGCACUUUCAGCGGGGAGGCGUUACCCGCAGAAGAAGCACCGGCUAACUCCGUGCCAGCAGCCGCGGUAAUU
rnacentral:rRNA from 1 species